GAUUGGACUCGUACCGGAUUAAAAAACGUGCUUCAGCUGGGCUUUCGGGGUUACAUCAAUAUUUCUCUUCCUCCACUUCCCAUCCUGUUCGUGACUCGUGAUUUCGCCGCCGGAAAGCCGAGGGAGAGGGAGCGAGAUGGGGUUCGUCGGCGACACGAUGGAGUCAAUCCGCUCCAUGCAGAUCCGCCAAUUGCUCACGCAGAUCAUCAGCCUCGGUAUGAUUGUUACCUCUGCAUUAAUCAUAUGGAAGGGGUUGAUAGUUUUCACAGGGAGCGAGUCACCAGUUGUAGUGGUUCUCUCUGGUAGCAUGGAACCUGGAUUUAAAAGGGGUGAUAUCCUGUUUUUGCAUAUGAGCAAAGAUCCUAUUCGCACAGGAGAAAUAGUUGUUUUCAAUAUCGAUGGCCGUGAAAUUCCAAUUGUCCACCGUGUAAUUAAGGUCCAUGAACGUCAGGACACUGCAGAAGUGGACAUCCUCACCAAAGGUGACAAUAAUUUUGGGGAUGACCGACUAUUAUAUGCACAUGGGCAGCUUUGGCUCCAGCAACAUCACAUUAUGGGACGUGCUGUGGGCUACCUUCCAUAUGUUGGCUGGAUUACAAUUAUCAUGACUGAGAAACCAUUUAUUAAGUACCUGCUGAUUGGUGCACUGGGCUUGCUGGUCAUAACGUCGAAAGAUUAGAGUGUCAAACUUCGCGCAGUAUAGAUUUUGCUCUUAUGGUGCAACAUCAGAGCUUUCCAGGAAACCCCCUAGGCUAGCUAUUUGCAAUGAAAAAAUCUGCGCACCAGGACAAAUUUGGGAUAGACGAUUGUUGCUUUUGUUUCAUCUUAUUACAAACGGGCACACGUCAAGCCGGCAACAGGUUCCGGUAAUGUGCUAUGAACAAGCAAUUAAAACGGAGAUUGAUAGGGUGUGUUUGGUUAGGUUUUUGGCUUUGGUUUCGGCUUGGACUUCUCUCCCCUAAAAUCCAAAAGUCAAACAAAGGACUGGAUUUAGGGAGCUGUUUUCUCUGAAAGUCAUUUUUCUCACAAUGUAAAACAGAAAGCAUCUAUAGACCUAAUUUUAGCAGCUUUUGGAUGGAACUAUGAAAAUAUAUAUGGAAGAAUUUUUAAUAGAUUUUAGUGGUUUUUAUCAAAUUUGUUAGCUUUUUAGCAGCUCACAGCAUACAUUUUUUCACAUCUAAUGUUAUUUUUUUACGGCCAGUCUAACAAACAGACCAUGUAUAAACAGUAAGUAUUGCUUCAAGAAGUUUAAUUAGCUCUUUUA